rnacentral:rRNA from 1 species
UACGUAGGGGGCAAGCGUUAAUCGGAAUUACUGGGCGUAAAGCGUGCGCAGGCGGUUCGUUAAGUUCGUUGUGAAAGCCCCGGGCUCAACCUGGGAACUGCAAUGGAAACUGGCGGGCUUGAGUGUGGCAGAGGGGGGUGGAAUUCCGCGUGUAGCAGUGAAAUGCGUAGAGAUGCGGAGGAACACCGAUGGCGAAGGCAGCCCCCUGGGCCAACACUGACGCUCAGGCACGAAAGCGUGGGGAGCAAACAGG